GGGGUGCAGCAGGCGCGAAAACUCUACAAUGCAGGCAACUGCGAUAGGGGGACAUCGAGUGGCAUCCACCUUGGGUGCCUGUCCAACCGUCUAAAAAACGGUUGUUAGCAAGGGCCGGGUAAGACCGGUGCCAGCCGCCGCGGUAAUACCGGCGGCUCGAGUGGUGGCCGAUAUUAUUGAGUCUAAAGGGUCCGUAGCCGGCUUUGCAAGUCCCCUGGGAAAUCCAGCGGCUUAACCGUUGGGCUUUCAUGGGAUACUACAUUGCUUGGGACUGGGAGAGGUAGGAGGUACUCGGGGGGUAGGGGUGAAAUCCUGUAAUCCUCCGGGGACCACCGGUGGCGAAGGCGUCCUACCAGAACAGGUCCGACGGUGAGGGACGAAAGCUAGGGGCACGAACCGGAUUAGAUACCCGGGUAGUCCUAGCCGUAAACGAUGCCCGCUAGGUGUCACGACGGUCGUGAAUCGUCGUGGUGCCGUAGGGAAGCCGCGAAGCGGGCCACUUGGGAAGUACGGCCGCAAGGCUGAAACUUAAAGGAAUUGGCGGGGGAGCACA
rnacentral:rRNA from 1 species